rnacentral:rRNA from 1 species
AUGGCGGAUGCGACGAAGCCUCUCCACCCGGUCCUGCAGGCGGUUGACGACGGCAACCUCCGCCUCCUCAAAGGUACCAGCAACAACCAGCCCUUACUACUGCUCCUGCCCCUCCUGUCCCUAGUCCGUACCCUUAGGGUUCCUGAUCGCCCAGAGACGGCGGGCGUCGUGGCGGACGACGGCAUCUGGUCGCGCGCGCUGGUUCUGGCGGCCAUGAAUGGGCGGCUGGACGUCUGCCGGUGCCUCGUCGAGGACCUCCGCGUCGAUGUCAACCAGCGCACCUUCACAGGUGAUACAGCUCUGGCCAUUUCUGCAGCUUAUGGGACAGCUGCUAUCACAAAAUAUCUUCUAGAUCGCGGCGCUGAUCCAACUUUAGUUGGUGCCCUGUGGCCACCUCUUCAUGGUGCUGCAAUGAGUGGAGAAUGUGAAAUACUAGAACUGCUGCUUUCAGCUGGAAUUGAUGUGGAUUGUUUCGAUUCUGUGUACGGGACCCCAUUGCAUGCUGCCGCUGCUGUUGGUGAAGAUGGCGCGGUGAAUAUUUUGUUGGAGCAUCAUGCAGAUCCUGAUAAGAUUCUCAACCUUCAUAGCACCCCGCUAAAUCUGUCCAUACUUUCCAAAUCGCUGGAAUGUGUGAAGCUACUCAUUAAGGCUGGUGCUGAUGUGAAUAAAAUUGACCAUAAUGGUUAUACUUACCUGAUGGUAGCAGCGGACAUUUGCUUACCUGGUAUCAUGAAGUGCUUACUAGAUGCUGGUGCUAACCCCGAUAUUCCUGAUCCAUUUGGUACAACUGCAAUUGAAAUUGCUGCCCUCCGAGGCAGAAGGGAUAUGGUUGAGAUGUUAUUUCCUUUAGCUUCUACUAUUUCAACGUUGCCGGAUUGGAGUGUUGAUGGAAUUAUUUGUCAUGUGAAAUCAUGUGGUUUGCCGAAGGAUAUACAUCUAUGUGAAAAGAAAAGAGCUGAACUGAAAUUGCAAGCUACAGAGGCUUUUAAGAGAAAGGAACAUAUGAUAGCGGUAGAGCUAUGUACUUGUGCAAUGAAUUUUGAGCCAAGUGCAGAAGAUCUUGCAAUCCUCCUAGCAAAUAGGAGUUUAUGUCUGCUGCACUCGGGAAGAGGAAAAGACGCGCUCUCUGAUGCUACUAGGUGCACAAUGUUGCGACCUCUCUGGCCCAAAGGUUACUAUCGACUAGGGGCAGCCUUAAUGUUUCUAGAGGACUAUGAAGAAGCGUCUCGGGCUUUUGCGGAUGGCUUGGAACUGGAUCCUGCAAAUGCUCUAAGGGAAGCCCAAGAGGCAGUGAAAAACCCUCCUUGCACCGGAGAGCUGGGGUGCCUUAGCCCACUUGGGAUCAGACGUUCCCGGUGA